AACGAACGCUGGCGGCGCGUCUUAAGCAUGCAAGUCGAACGGCAAGAGAGAAGCUUGCUUCUCUCCUAGAGUGGCGGACUGGUGAGGAACACGUGGGUAAUCUACCCUUAAGAUGGGGAUAGCUGCUAGAAAUAGCAGGUAAUACCGAAUACACUCAGUAUUUCAUAAGAAGUAUUGAGGAAAGGAAGCUACGGCUUCGCUUGAGGAUGAGCUUGCGUCCCAUUAGCUAGUUGGUGAGGUAACGGCCCACCAAGGCGACGAUGGGUAUCCGGCCUGAGAGGGUGAUCGGACACAUUGGGACUGAGAUACGGCCCAAACUCCUACGGGAGGCAGCAGCUAAGAAUAUUCCGCAAUGGACGAAAGUCUGACGGAGCGACGCCGCGUGGAUGAAGAAGGCUGAAAAGUUGUAAAAUCCUUUUGUUGAUGAAGAAUAAGGGGAAGAGGGAAUGCUUCUCUGAUGACGGUAAUCAGCGAAUAAGCCCCGGCUAAUUACGUGCCAGCAGCCGCGGUAACACGUAAGGGGCGAGCGUUGUUCGGAAUUAUUGGGCGUAAAGGGCGUGUAGGCGGUUAUGUAAGCCUGAUGUGAAAUCCUGGGGCUUAACCCUAGAAUAGCAUUGGGUACUGUGUAACUUGAAUUACGGAAGGGAAACUGGAAUUCCAAGUGUAGGGGUGGAAUCUGUAGAUAUUUGGAAGAACACCGGUGGCGAAGGCGGGUUUCUGGCCGAUAAUUGACGCUGAGAUGCGAAAGUGUGGGGAUCGAACAGG
rnacentral:rRNA from 1 species